UGCGUAGGCGGCGAGGUAAGUCAGAUGUGAAAGCCCGGGGCUCAACUCCGGGAUUGCAUUUGAAACUGCUUUGCUAGAGUGCAGGAGAGGAAAGUGGAAUUCCUAGUGUAGCGGUGAAAUGCGUAGAUAUUAGGAGGAACACCAGUGGCGAAGGCGGCUUUCUGGACUGUAACUGACGCUGAGGCACGAAAGCGUGGGGAGCGAACAGGAUUAGAUACCCUGGUAGUCC
rnacentral:rRNA from 1 species